UGGGGAAUAUUGGACAAUGGGCGGAAGCCUGAUCCAGCAACGCCGCGUGAGGGAUGACGGCCUUCGGGUUGUAAACCUCUUUCAGUACCGACGAAGCGAAAGUGACGGUAGGUACAGAAGAAGGACCGGCCAACUACGUGCCAGCAGCCGCGGUAAUACGUAGGGUCCGAGCGUUGUCCGGAAUUAUUGGGCGUAAAGGGCUCGUAGGCGGUUUGUCGCGUCGGCAGUGAAAACCAUGGGCUUAACUCAUGGCUUGCUUUCGAUACGGGCAGACUAGAGGUAUGCAGGGGAGAAUGGAAUUCCUGGUGUAGCGGUGAAAUGCGCAGAUAUCAGGAGGAACACCGGUGGCGAAGGCGGUUCUCUGGGCAUUACCUGACGCUGAGGAGCGAAAGUGUGGGGAGCGAACAGG
rnacentral:rRNA from 1 species